UUUGGAUUAAUACCCCGUAACAUUGCGAUGUGGCAUCACAUUGCAAUUAUAGCUUCGGCGCUUAACGAUGGGUGUGCGUAUGAUUAGAUAGUUGGCGAGGUAACGGCUCACCAAGUCUACGAUCAUUAGCUGAUGUGAGAGCAUGAUCAGCCACACGGGCACUGAGACACGGGCCCGACUCCUACGGGAGGCAGCAGUAAGGAAUAUUGGUCAAUGGACGCAAGUCUGAACCAGCCAUGCCGCGUGAAGGACUAAGGUCCUCUGGAUUGUAAACUUCUUUUAUAUGGGACGAAAAAAGAUCUUUCUAGAUCCCUUGACGGUACCAUAUGAAUAAGCACCGGCUAACUCCGUGCCAGCAGCCGCGGUAAUACGGAGGGUGCAAGCGUUAUCCGGAUUCACUGGGUUUAAAGGGUGCGUAGGCGGGUAGGUAAGUCAGUGGUGAAAUCCUGGAGCUCAACUCCAGAACUGCCAUUGAUACUAUCUAUCUUGAAUAUUGUGGAGGUAAGCGGAAUAUGUCAUGUAGCGGUGAAAUGCUUAGAUAUGACAUAGAACACCCAUUGCGAAGGCAGCUUACUACGCAUAUAUUGACGCUGAGGCACGAAAGCGUGGGGAUCAAACAGGAUUAGAUACCCUGGUAGUCCACGCCCUAAACGAUGGAUACUCGACAUACGCGAUACACUGUGUGUGUCUGA
rnacentral:rRNA from 1 species